GGUGGAUGAGAAUUGGGACAGUGAUUAGCUCAGUAGUUUGGGAAGCCACAUCCUUUCUAUGUCAAGACACUCAAGAUGGGUAAAUUAAACCAAUUUUUUAUAAUUGAAAGCACAGUGUAUUUUACUAAAACAUGACACUUAAGAUUUUUGCAAUAGUUGCAUCUUUUAGGGAAGAAAACGAUAUAGAAGGUGCAGCAGUCUGUAAAAAAAUCUGAGAAUUUGGUGAAAAAAAAAAGAUUGUAAUUCAGUUGUGCUAUUUUGGCAUCCUUAGCAAUUUUAUUAUGUUGAUGAAAUGAUUGAAUUCUCUGUUCCCAUCUGUUCUAAA
rnacentral:misc_RNA from 1 species